AGAGUUUGAUCCUGGCUCAGGACGAACGCUGGCGGCGUGCCUAACACAUGCAAGUCGAGCGAUGAAGCCCUUCGGGGUGGAUUAGCGGCGGACGGGUGAGUAACACGUGGGUAACCUGCCUCAAAGAGGGGGAUAGCCUCCCGAAAGGGAGAUUAAUACCGCAUAACAUUAGUUUUUCGCAUGAAGAACUAAUUAAAGGAGUAAUCCGCUUUGAGAUGGACCCGCGGCGCAUUAGCUAGUUGGUGAGGUAAAAGCUCACCAAGGCGACGAUGCGUAGCCGACCUGAGAGGGUGAUCGGCCACAUUGGAACUGAGACACGGUCCAGACUCCUACGGGAGGCAGCAGUGGGGAAUAUUGCACAAUGGGCGAAAGCCUGAUGCAGCAACGCCGCGUGAGUGAUGAAGGCCUUCGGGUUGUAAAGCUCUGUCUUUGGGGACGAUAAUGACGGUACCCAAGGAGGAAGCCACGGCUAACUACGUGCCAGCAGCCGCGGUAAUACGUAGGUGGCAAGCGUUGUCCGGAUUUACUGGGCGUAAAGGAUGCGCAGGCGGAUAUUUAAGUGAGAUGUGAAAUUCCCGGGCUUAACUUGGGAGCUGCAUUUCAAACUGGAUAUCUAGAGUGUGGGAGAGGAGAAUGGAAUUCCUAGUGUAGCGGUGAAAUGCGUAGAGAUUAGGAAGAACACCAGUGGCGAAGGCGAUUCUCUGGACCAUAACUGACGCUGAGGCAUGAAAGCGUGGGUAGCAAACAGGAUUAGAUACCCUGGUAGUCCACGCCGUAAACGAUGAGUACUAGGUGUAGGAGGUAUCGACUCCUUCUGUGCCGCAGUUAACACAAUAAGUACUCCGCCUGGGAAGUACGAUCGCAAGAUUAAAACUCAAAGGAAUUGACGG
rnacentral:rRNA from 1 species